rnacentral:lncRNA from 1 species
UCCCUGCAGCCGCCACCCCCUAUCUCUCUUCUCUCCCCCGAUUUCUCUCCCACGUUCUCUCUUCUCUCCCUAUCUCUCACCAGCGACGAGGACGAGCCGAGCGCCGCCUUCCCUGACUCGCGCCGCCCUCCCUCCCUCCCUCUCUCUCUCUGCUGAGGGCCAACAGACUUCUUUCCCCCACCUCCCUCCCAAGCCCAUCUCCUCCCGGCCACCACUGCGCUCUCCUCCCCGACGACGGCCACCGCCACCCUUGCCAUCUUGGGCUCCGCCACUGCCGGAACUACUGGAUCCUGCCUCCCUCUCCCCCAAAUCGGCGGAUUCGGCCAUCCCAGGUCCGGAUCGGGCCUUGCUGCCACCAGAUCCGUGGGCUAGGCGGCACGCUCUCCCUUGGCCACGGUGCCGGACGAGGGCAGCUGCUGUUGAAUCGAAGAUUGACACGAUGGAGCUCGAGUUCUUCCAAGCUAAACCCCCUGUCCCUCCCUCUAUUAUUCAUUCUCUUGUGAUGCUUAUGAUUGUCAAUCUCUUGUGAUGCUUAUGAUUUCCAAUCUCCUGUGAUUUCUAUUCUUGUGAUUAUUUCAUUCUCUUCUAAUUGUGUAGGUUCUUGACUUGGAAAAGGGAGAUCUUAAGUAGACUGCAUGAUUAAGUGGACUGUAUGCACAUGGAAGUUUAGUUUACAUUUUGUUUCGAUUUGAGAUUCAACAAAGCUGGAUGUUGUUGUGCCAAUUUCGUGUGUACGGAUGUAAUGAUGCCUCUGUAUAAUUUUAUCCGAGAAUUGCAUUUGGAAUAAAUAAUUGUACGGACUGUGUAUAUAAAAUAAUAUGUAAAUUUUUAAUUUCCUAAAUACCCAUUAGUGUCGGGGCAGCCUCACCGCCACUGUUGGCAUAUGGGCAUCAGUGUCGUGCUUCUGUACCCGCCACUGAUGGGUCACCCAUCAGUGGCCACUAAUCAGUGGCGUGUCAGCCACACGCCACCGAUGGCAUUUUUUUUGCCCGACACUGAUGGCUCUUUUUGUAGCAGUGACUCGUAAUAUGUAAC